rnacentral:rRNA from 1 species
CCUACGGGGGGCUGCAGUGGGGGAUAUUGCACAAUGGAGGAAAGUCUGACGGAGCAACGCCGCGUGAGCGAAGAAGGUCUUCGGAUCGUAAAGCUCUGUUGUUAGGGAAGAACAAGUACGGGAGGAAAUGACCGUACCUUGACGGUACCUGACGAGGAAGCCACGGCUAACUACGUGCCAGCAGCCGCGGUAAUACGUAGGUGGCAAGCGUUGUCCGGAAUUAUUGGGCGUAAAGCGCGCGCAGGCGGUCUUUUAAGUCUGAUGUGAAAGCUUGCGGCUCAACCGCAAGCGGUCAUGGGAAACUGGGAGACUUGAGUGCAGAAGAGGAAAGCGGAAUUCAACGGGAGGCGGUGAAAUGCGUAGGGAUGUGGAGGAACACCAGUGGCGAAGGCGGCUUUCUGGUCUGUAACUGACGCUGAGGCGCGAAGCGUGGGGAGCAAACAGGAUUAGAUACCCUGGUAGUC